AAUUUCAGUUAAUUUCUGUGGACAGUGAAAUUAGCAGCUGUCAAUCACGUGUUUCUGAGACCAGAGCGCCCUCUAUCGGACUCACCUACAAUCACAGCAUGUGAACCGUGUAGAAAUAAUAUUUCAUUUUCCUCAGUAUUGAAGCGUUAACCUUGAUCGUUAAUUUGGAAACUGCAUACAGUAUUAUAACAAACACGAUAUGUCGCUUAUAUAGUAAACAAAUUCUGUCUAGCUUUCUGUAUUUACAUAAUUAAUAAUGUAUUUCAUAAUGUUAUGCGUCCAGGCGUGCUGAAUUAUGGCAGCCUGCAGGAUGGGAGCAGAAGAAGAGAGAUGCACAGGACCUGGGUGAGACACGAGUGUGCUGCAGUGUGUCUGUCUGGUUUACAUGCACCUGUGUGUCUUUGGCUCUGCAGGUCAGCUGGCCUCUCUGAUGGACAGAACGUGUGAGAGGAAGUUCAUCACCAGGACGGUGAGCAUCUGGGAGGCAGAACACCAGCAGCUCAUUCAGAGAGAAAGAGAAGAACCAGAAGAGCGUCUGAGCAAACAGUGAGCGCCGUCCUCCAGACACAGAGUUGUUUGUCUUGUUUAUUGUCUUUGGUUGGGUCGAUUGAGAGAGAGGUUUGUGUGUUAAUAUUAUUUGGAUUCUUUUUCAACGCCCUGUAAAUCUGAACAGUAUAAAUAAACAAUGAACAUACUCUUA